rnacentral:rRNA from 1 species
CAAUAGCGUAUAUUAAAGUUGUUGCAGUUAAAAAGCUCGUAGUUGGACUUCUGAUGUGGAGGGACGGUCCGCCUCACGGUGAGCACUGAUUCUUCACGUCUUCCUCUCGUAGUCUUUUGGCGCACUUAGUUGGGUGCCUUUAGAAUAUGGGACCUUUACUUUGAAAAAAUUAGAGUGUUCAAAGCAGGCAAUCGCUUGAAUACAUUAGCAUGGAAUAAUAGAAUAGGACUUCGGUACUAUUUUGUUGGUUUCUAGGACCGAAGUAAUGAUUAAUAGGGACAGUUGGGGGCAUUCAUAUUCCAUUGUCAGAGGUGAAAUUCUUGGAUUAACGGAAGAUGAACUACUGCGAAAGCAUCUGCCAAGGAUGUUUUCAUUGAUCAAGAACGAAAGUUAGGGGAUCGAAGACGAUUAGAU